GUUAAUUUUGGUGGUCACGAGAAGAAUUUUAUAAUUUAAGAUAUGAUCGUUGAACGGGCAUCUUCGUCUUACAGAAAUAUUGCAAACUACCCUUAUGUUAAAUUUGCCCAAUCAUAUGCAAAAAAACAUUACGGCGUGGACGUUAUGGAGAUAUCGAUUAAAAUUGGCAAGGCGUGGAAUAAACUGUCCAAUGCUCAAAGAA